rnacentral:rRNA from 1 species
CCCUACGGGGUGCACAUGGGAAAAAUGCUCACUUCCAGUAGGGUCAUGUAUUUGGGCGCCACCAGCGAAUUCUGUGAGUGUUGAACCAAAAGUUGGGUGCCUUUGAUGGAAAUAAAGUUCCGCGCUGGCCAAGUGGGGGCUUGAGCGGUGGAUUGUGCCAGUAAGCAUCGAGGUACUGUCAGUUACCGUUGAUUUGCCCGGAUAGUUCAGGAGGGAGCGGUCGUGGGAAGUAUUGCAACCUUGUUGCCGGCUCUUGCUGGUGUCAGCGCGCUGGCGGUCGUCAUCAUUGUUCUCCGGGCAAUGCCGAGAACAAUGUUUACCUUGUGGUCACUGACGCUUUUUUUCGUUCCUGUAUGGAUUGGCGUUAGCCUUUCGAGAAGCUUCAGCGUCAUGGCAAUCUCCGCAGUAACCCUUCUUGGAGUUGUGGUAUUUGGCGGGAGGGC